CCUACGGGAGGCAGCAGUGGGGAAUAUUGGGCAAUGGGCGCAAGCCUGACCCAGCAACGCCGCGUGAAGGAAGAAGGCUUUCGGGUUGUAAACUUCUUUUCUCAGGGACGAAGCAAGUGACGGUACCUGAGGAAUAAGCCACGGCUAACUACGUGCCAGCAGCCGCGGGAAUACGUAGGUGGCAAGCGUUAUCCGGAUUUACUGGGUGUAAAGGGCGUGUAGGCGGGAAAGCAAGUCAGAUGUGAAAACCAUGGGCUCAACCUGUGGCCUGCAUUUGAAACUGUUUUUCUUGAGUACUGGAUAGGCAGACGGAAUUCCUAGUGUAGCGGUGAAAUGCGUAGAUAUUAGGAGGAACACCAGUGGUGAAGGCGGUCUGCUGGACAGCAACUGACGCUGAGGCGCGAAAGCGUGGGGAGCAAACAGGAUUAGAUACCCCUGUAGUC
rnacentral:rRNA from 1 species